UCUCAAUCUCCUUACUCACUUUGUUCCUACUGAUCUUAAUAGUGUGUUUGUGUUCACUUUUUUUAUUUUUAGGACAAAACUACCUGAUUUGUAUUCCUCUUUUGAAAACCCAAGCCAAUGUUGAGAAUGGAUCUAUGUGAUAUUUACAAAUGUUGUUAUGGAAGUGAUGAAGAACAAACAAGAACAGCAGCAAUAGAUGCAGCAGAACAGAAAUGUCAUACACCGAUGUUGCAACAAAAAUGAAAGAGGGAGAGAGAUGAGAAAGAACACACAGAUUUACGUGGUUCACUACAUCCACGGGAGGGAAAAAUAGAGAGCUUUUAUUAUCGAUGCAAUAUACAAGUGGAAGCUUAUCUUUGAAAAUACAGGGCAUGAUUGCCUUAUAUAAGUAGAGGACAAAACAGAAAAAAAAAAUAACAGAAUAAACUUCCAUAUGGAUUUUGGUCAUAGCCCAACAAUUCACCAUCUUGAACCAACAUCCAUAUAAAACACAAACUGCACCAUCCAACCACACAUGAUUUUAACCCCAACAAUCAACAUUGAGCAAGCUUAAGCAGUGAUCAAACUUGCUCUUUGGAACUGACUUUGUGAACAUAUCAAGAGGAUUGUGCAGAGUGCUGAUCUUAUGAACUUUGAUUCUUCUUUCUGACCGAAUGAAGUGAUAUCUAACAUCUAUAUGCUUGGUUCUAUCAUGAUGAACCUGAUCCUUGGCCAAGCAUAUAGCACUAAGGCUAUCACAGUAGAUGUUAGCAUAUUCUUGAGAUUAAUUCCGAGAUCAUUUAUCAGACCUCUUAGCCAAAUUCCUUCCUUUGCAGCUUCAGUAAGAGCCAUAUAUUCAGCCUCAGUAAUUGAAAGGGCAAUAGAAGGUUGAAGUGUUGCCUUCCAACUCACCAAGCAACCACCAAGGGUGUAAGCAUACCUUGUUAGGGACCUUCUCUUGACAAGAUCAGCAGCAAAAUCUGCAUCAGAAUAGCCAGUGAGACAACAAUCUGAGUUAGAUCCAUAGAUCAACCCUACAUCUGCAGUCCCUUUAAGAUAUCUAAAAAUUCUAUUCACAACCUUCCAAUGUUCCUUUUGAGGUUGGUUUAAGAACCUACUAACCAUGCUAACAACAUAAGCAAGGUCAGGUCUGGUGCAGACCAUGGCAUACAUGAGACUGCCAACAACACUUGAGUAUGGAACUUUUGACAUAUAGUCCUAAUAAGCCUGAGCUUGAACCUUUAUCACAACAGACAACUUCUCUUUUUUUGAAAGGGGAGUACUAAUAGGUUUAGAAUCAGCCAUUCCAAACCUCACAAGUAUCUUCUGAAUGUAAUCCUUUUGAGACACAAAUAGCCUUUUCUGAGUUCUGUCCCUAUAGAUUUCCAUUCCUAAGAUUUUCUUUGCAGCCCCUAGAUCUUUCAUAUCAAAUUCACCACUUAGGAGGAUCUUCAGAUUUUGUAUAUCACACAUGCUUUUUGCUGCAAUAAGCAUGUCAUCUACAUAGAGUAGAAGAUAGAUCAUUAAUCCAUCCUCCACCUUGUUGUGAUAAACAUAGCAGUUAUAGAGACUUCUCUUGAAUCCUUGGCUGGUGAUAAAGCUGUCAAACCUCAUGUACCAUUUCCUUGGAGAUUGUUUCAAACCAUACAAGGACCUCUGCAGUUGACAAACAUACCUUUCUUUUCCUAUAACUUCAAACCCUUCAAGCUAUUUCAUUAAAAUAUUUUCUUCCAAUCUUCCAUGGAGAAAGGCAGUCUAGACAUCAAGUUGUUCAAGUUCCAAAUCUUGGUUUGCCACAAUAGCAAGCAAAACCCUGAUAGAUGUAUGUCUGACCACAGGUGAAAAGAUUUCGUUGAAAUCUACUCCUUCUUUCUGGCCGAAUCCCUUGGCAACUAACCUAGCCUUGUAUCUUAUCCCUUCCUUUUCUGAAAGACCAGGUUUCCUCUUGAAUAUCCACUUGCAGCCUACCACAUGUCUUCCUUUAGGUAGUUCAACAAGUUUCCAGGUUUGAUUCUUAUGUAAAGAUUCCAUUUCCUCUUUCAUAGCUAACAACCAAUUUCAGCUUCAGGAUGAUUGAUAGCUUCUUGGUAGGUGGCUGGUUCAUUUGAAUCUGUUUCUUCAGCUGCAUGUAAUGCAUAGGCAUCCAUGUCUUUAAAUCCGUAUCUUUCGGGAGGUUCAGUGACCUUUUUUAGUCUCUGAUUGAUUCCAGAAUUGAGCUGUGGAGGAUCAGGUUCAACAGCCAAAUGAGACUCAUUUGCACUGGAAUCUUCUAAUUUUUCACCUUCUUGAAGAACCACAGGAGAUGUUUCGGAAUGACCCCCUUUUUUUGAGUCUUUGGUUAUAAAUUCUACAUCCUUUUUCUUGAGGAGAGUGGUAGCUCUGUGUUCCAGCAAUUGGAACCUCAAGCUUGGGAUGAAACAAAUGUGAUUCAUAAAAAAUUACAUCUCUGCUGAGAAGAACUUUCUUUUCCAAGGGUGACCAGAUCCUAUAGCAUUUCACCCCAUCACCAUAACCCAUGAACAGACCCUUUCUUGAUCUAGGUACCAGGUUUCCUUCAUUGACAUGAUAAUAAGCAUUGCAGCCAAAUACUCUUAGGUUUGAGUAGUUUGUUGUUUUGCCAUUCCAGAUUUCAAUAGGAGUUUUAAGUCCUAUAGCAGUAGAGGGUGUUCUAUUGAUCAGAAAACAAGUUGUAUUGAUAGCUUUUCCCCAAAAACUUUUGUUGAGACCAGCAUUAGACAAUAGACAUCUUGUUCUUUCCAAGAGUGUUCUGUUCAUUCGUUCAGCAACUCCAUUUUGCUGAGGAGUGUUCCUAACAGUAAGCUGUCUAGCAAUUCCUUCAUCUCUACAGAAUUUGUUAAAUUCUGUUGAGCAAAACUCCAAGCCAUUAUCAGUUCUGAGUCUUUUAACUUUCCUUUCAGUUUGUUUUUCAAUCACUUCUUUCCAUUCUUUGAAGCAUUUGAAAGCUUGACUCUUCUAACUCAUGAUGUAGAUCCAUGUCAUUCUUGAGUAGUCGUCAAUUAUGGACAGAAAAUACCUUCCACCACCUAGUGAAGGUACUCUUGCAAGCCCCCAACAGUCAGCAUGAAUGUAAUCAAGAGUUUCUUUGGUGGUGUGAACUGCUUUAGGAAAUUUAAUCCUAUGUUGCUUGCCGAAAACACAGUGCUCAUAGAAUUUAAGUUCAUCCAGUUUUUUAUUUCCCAACAGUUGUUGUUUUUCAAAGUAUCAUCAUACCUUUUUUACUUAUAUGACCUAGCCUCAUGUACCACAAUUGAGUUAAGUCAGGUAUGCUCUUAUUGGAUCUUAAUGCAACAGCUACUAGACCAUCAUCAAUACAUGUUGUACCUUGAAGUAUAUAGAGAUUACCCCUCUUUAUAACCUUCAUCACCAUUGUAGAGCCUUUCUGAAUUUUUAUGACCCCAUUUUCAGUGCUGCAUUUAAACCCCUUUCCAUCCAUAAUACCUAUGGAGAUUAGAUUCUUCUUCAGCUCUGGAACAUGCCUAACUUCAGUAAGUGUUCGAAUAAUUCCAUUAUGCAUCUUGAUUUUUACUGUGCCAAUUCCAAUUGUCUUGCAUGAGACAUCAUUUCCCAUGAAGACAUUUCCACCCAAUUUCUCUUCAUAGGUGUCAAACCAGGUUUUGUUAGGACACAUAUGAAAGGAACAGCCAGAGUCUAAUAUCCACUGAUUUUCAGAAUGUUGGUGAUGAUCAGCAACUGAGAGAACAAGCUCAUUUUCAGAUGUGGAACCUUCCUUGGCAACAACAGCAAAUGGUUUGCCCUUUUUCUUAGGACAAUCUUUCUUCCAAUGACUUGGCUCCUUGCAGUAGUUACAGAUAUCCUUUGGAUUGACAUGAGUCUUCUUCUUUCCUUUAAACACCUUUUUCUUGAUGUUCUUGAUGGAGUUAGAGACCACCAGACCAGAUCCAUUUGAUUCUUCAGAAUUUCCAGAUGCUUUAGAUCGAAGUUCCCUUGAGUAUAAGCUGGAUUUCACCUCCUCCAUGGUGACACAUUCCUUACCAACACUAAGAGAAUUGACAAAGCUCUCAUAUGAUGGUGGUAGAGAGGCUAACAAAAUCAUGGCAGCAUCGUCAUCCUCUAUCUUAACAUCUAUAUCUCUUAAUUCCAUCAAAAUAGAAUUUAAUUCAUCAAGAUGAUCCUUAAGAGAUGUACCUUCUUUCAUGUGUAAACCAAACAGACGCCUCUUCAAGAAGAGCUUGUUGCAGAUUGACUUAGUCAUAUACAACUUUUCCAACUUGAGCCAUAAACCACUUGCAGUUUCUUCACAGAUGCAGAAGCAACAGGAGCCCAGACACGUGGUUACUUUAACAAAGCACACAUCUUGAUGCGCCACAGAUUGAAGCUGUUCUUUCCAUUGAAUUUCUCAAUCCUGAUUGUGUUUGACAUGAUUUCUUGAAUGUUCUUGAUCAUAAAGAAGCAGCAAAAGAACCAUAAACAAGACUCCCAUAGCUUGAUCUUUGUAUUAAGACGAGAAUCUUGAAUUCCCUUGAUUGCAACUUGAGCUUUUGAUACCAGUUUGUUAUGGAAGUGAUGAAGAACAAACAAGAACAACAACAGUAGAUGCAGCAGAACAAAAAUGUCAUACAUCGAUGUUGCAGCAAAAAUGAAAGAGGGAGAGAGAUGAGAAAGAACACACAGAUUUACGUGGUUCACCUUUGAUUAAGGUUACAUCCACGAGAGGGAAAAACAGAGAGCUUUUAUUAUCGAUGUAGUAUACAAGUGGAAGCUUAUCUUUGAAAAUACAGGGCAUCAUUGCCUUAUAUAAGUAGAGGACAAAACAGAAAAAAAUAACAGAAUAAACUUCCAUAUGAAUUUUGGUCACAACCCAACAAAUGUUAUAAGAAUUUUGUCAAAUCCAACAUAUGUUGGAUACUACUCUUUACCUUAAAUUGCUCCUUACUAAUUGUGUAUUGAAUACUGAACUAUUAUUUCAUUCUUUAUGCAUUAUUUGUUGUCAUAUGUAUGUAUGUAUGUGUGUAUUCAUGUAUUCUUUUUUGUGUUUUGAGCUUUGGUUUUUGUUGAUUGAAAAAGAUAACUGUCACCUACUGUAGAGCAAUGACUUCUGAAGAAGAUUUCAAGAAAUUAAGCCAUCUGACCUGGUGUUUAUAGCCCUCACUCUGUAGGCCACUUCCUUAACCUUGAUAAGAUAGAGAGAUAAAAUGAGCUUUGAAAUAAUUAUUAUACUUCCAUAGUUAUAUCAUCACAAGCUGCACAUGGAAACAUUCUUUUGUAGCCAUCAAUAACUAAAUUUGUUUCUUUUGUAGCAUUAAUUUCAAUGAAAAUAAAGGAGGAUAGUUGCAAUUGUUUUUCUUUUGAAAUUUUUAUUCUUUUUUUUUUGUGUUGAAUGUUGACCUCAAUCUUGGACAUAUUUUUCAUAUAUUCAUGGUAGCUUCUAAUGAAGCAUACCACCAUUCCUCUCUACAUUCAUUGUUACUUUUUUUUAGAGGGGAAGGUGGUUAUGGAUAUAAGAAUGAGGUGAGGAGGACAAAAUCGUAUGGGGAUAUGAGUGAAUCGGUUGGGAGAAGAGAAAAGGGUUGUGAGUGUGAAUCCUUUGAAAUGUUGUGAAGAUUGUCCAUGCAAUGUAAGGGAAAACUAAAGGUAGCUUUUUUUCCUGUCAUUUAAUUUAUAUUAUCUCAUUUGUUUUAGUAAAGUACAUUUUUUUUCAAAUUAGGAUCUUAUUUGUCAUUGUGGUUUUGCUUUCUGAUUUUAAGAAGGGGUGAUCAUGGACAUCAAAAGAUUAAGUAUUUAGAUAUAGUGAGGCUUCCAAUAUUACUGAAAACUUCAAAACUGUCGUUGGAGAAGGAGGAUUUGGAGAAGUUUACUACACUAUUCUACAAUACAUUUGGGUAGUGUUAAGUUGCUUUCACCUUUAUCAGCCCAAUGUUACGAGGUGUUAAGAUCAGAGGAAUUACGAAGCUCUCAGUUGAGGCACUAUGCAGCUAGGAUGUUAUCCACUUAUCCAACAAUUUGCCAGAUAAAUAUGGAGAAGAUUUAUUUUCACAGGAAAUAGAAGAGAAUCGGAUGACAUAUUGGAGAAAAUAACAGUUCUGACAUAGGAGUGGAAUAAGGUUGUAGGGGGAUUCUCAUACUCUUUUUCAAAAAAGAUAUUAAAUCAAGUGUAUUUGGGGGCUCUUAGCAAUAUUGGACAUGUUAAGGAUCGUGAGGAUUUUUUUUUCUGAUCUUAGGGGAAUAUGAGUAAGCAGUUUGUGGGCAGGAUGGAAUGAAGAUGUAAUGGGCAGAGUAUCUAAAUGCAGUAAAUCCAAUAAUUGCAACAGAGAAAUAUCAAAAUUAUCUAAUAAAUGAUGAAAAGGGAAAGAAAAGUAUUGUAGUAGGAGGAGUCUUUGUUUUUUGGACUGGUAGAGCUUUUGCAUAUGAAGGGACUUUCUGCUACUCUUAGCGCUGGCAAGAUGAGUAUUUACGCAUGUCUAGGUUGAAGUUUGAUUUUUAUUUAAUUAUUAUCCAAUUGUAAUGAGUUAGAAAAUAUAGCAAUAGGAUCAGAUUAUCGAUUAUAAAAUCAGCUGGCUAAGGGGUGUAUUUAUUAGCUA